AACGAACGCUGGCGGCAUGCCUAACACAUGCAAGUCGAACGAGACCUUCGGGUCUAGUGGCGCACGGGUGCGUAACGCGUGGGAACCUGCCCUUAGGUUCGGAAUAACUCCCCGAAAGGGGUGCUAAUACCGGAUAAUGUCUUCGGACCAAAGAUUUAUCGCCUUUGGAUGGGCCCGCGUUGGAUUAGCUAGUUGGUAGGGUAAAAGCCUACCAAGGCGACGAUCCAUAGCUGGUCUGAGAGGAUGAUCAGCCACACUGGGACUGAGACACGGCCCAGACUCCUACGGGAGGCAGCAGUGGGGAAUAUUGGACAAUGGGCGAAAGCCUGAUCCAGCAAUGCCGCGUGAGUGAUGAAGGCCUUAGGGUUGUAAAGCUCUUUUACCCGGGAUGAUAAUGACAGUACCGGGAGAAUAGGCUCCGGCUAACUCCGUG
rnacentral:rRNA from 1 species